UUUUGCCAGUCCCAUCCACGGCAGGAAAAACAUGCACAUGGGCUUACAUUUGAUGGUGGAUAUUCUGGGCAACAUUUUCUGAGAUUAUAAAGCCUUUUUACCUUUCAAAGUCUCACAGCAAUGCUGGAAAGACAGCAGUGAGGUGGAGGAGAACUGAAGAAGAGAAAUCAACAUGCCGUGGUUAAAUCCCAGAGAAUUAACUGUGUUAUUAGGUACUAUUAACAGUAUUCUCCAAAGAAAGCCUGAUCCAGUAGAAGACACGAAAAGAUUUGCUUCUGUCUAAAGCCUAGGGAAACUUUGAAGCUGUGCCAGGUUGGACACCAGGAGGAAUUUCUUCAUAGGCCAAGCUUUUUCUCUGAAGACCAGUGAAUUAUGGGUCACCACUUUUCAAGAACUUUGCUGUUCUCCUAUGGCUAAACUGAGUAUCAUAAAGAAAACCAGCAUGUGUCAAGCUCUGGGCCGCACAUUUAUGUUUCUACAAGCAACUGGUAACCAGUGUAACAGGUCAGGACUGGGAACUCACGCUGGGAGUACGUGGCACAGUGGGAUUAUAGGCACAGGUGCAACUGCCUCUUCUUUGACUACACUUCUGUGGGAAGUGUAAAUUACCUUCUAAAUCACCCUGUCCCCGAGGCUUCAAAAUUCUUGGGCCUUCAUUACUGCCAUGCUUUUAUUGAAUACUUACCCUGAGUUAGGGUCUCCGUGGAGAUGUGAAAACAACUUAAUUACUUGAUCCCUAAGCAAUAGCCAAACAAAAACCCAGGAGUUAGGGAUGAAAUGCAGAAGGCAUAUUUUAUCUCUGUUCAGAAUCCUAACUUACUAAUGGGGCCCUGGAGAGUUUUUUUUCUAUUUUUUUCCCUAUUGAUUAAUGAACAGAGAGAGAGCGAGAGAAAGAGCAAGGGGAUCUUUUCUAUGAUUUGUGGAGGUGUUUGUAUAAAUAGAAGAAAUACAGAUAUUAAGCUGAAUUUUUGAGGAUUUUACUGGGAUCCAAAAGAUGAAUUAGGCAUUUGUAGGUGCCUAACUACCACUUUAUCUUUGUAUUGGUCAUAAAAUGGCAAUAGCACUCUCAGGUUUGAGCAUUCCUCAGAUCUCAGCCAGGAUCUUUCACUGCACCCCUCUUAUUCUUUAGGUUGAUAUGGGAAAGAAAUACCUGCCAGAAGCAAGGCAGAAUACGUGCUGGAGGCUAGAAAUAUGGUCAAGAAAGAUAUUGCAGAUUGGUACCUUUGAGACAAAGCAGAGACAUCCACCUUCUCAGUUUUGCAGCAUAUAAGUUUAAAGCUGGCUCUGAGCAGGGAUUUUUGGUGCCUGGCUGCAGAAGGAAUUACCAAGUCUGUGUUAAGAGAUGAACUUCCCCGUGUAAGGACUCAGGAGAAUGAAGCAAGUGCAUGCCUAGGAUUCAGGAUAAACAGCACAUUCUGUGACAGGCCCUGCAGAAAACUAAUUGGCAACACCUUCAAGAGGGACAUGUGUAAAAUCCUUUCUCUCCUCAGAUAUGGGCACAGAUGAAUAUUCAGAGAUAAGUACCUGGGUAAGGGCAGGAUACACAACAUAUAAUUUUCUCCAGUGCCUCUCACUUUGAAUGUUGAUAAAGGGUUUGACCUUUCUUUGAAGGCACAGAAUCUGGGUGCCAAUCCAUCACACUACAGGUGAAGCACUCACAGCAGGACCUGUACUCCUGCUCCUUUCCAGUUUAAAAGACUUAAAGUCAUUAUUCCACUUUCCAUAUCUUCACUGCCAUGCUGGAAAAAAUGAUAGCAGGAUUGCAAGGAAACACUAAACUAGAAGGACUUUUAGGGUCUCCUGUGACAGCCCAUGGAUAAAACACCCCUCAUGUGAGCAGAGGGGAUCAGAUCCUACAGCCCCCUAUGGCCAAGCUCUGAUUCCCCUUAUGCUGGAUCUGGUGGUACCACAGCAACCAACUCUGCAAGCAUGGCUUAGGCAAUAACACUGGAAAAGGGAUACAAACUCAUUCCUUUGAGUUUAAAAUUCACAGCAAUAAAUAUCCAAACAAGCUUUUGAGGCACAGAUUUUGAGCCUUGCUAUUUUCUUUAGCCAAACUGUGUUUGAGUGCUUUCCCUCCAGAGUGUUCUGAUGACCCUUUGUGUGACUGACCAGAGGUUUAUGUCUGCAGUUCUAAUUUCACUUCUUGUCUGCAGCUUUUUUAGAAGGAGUCUAUGGAAAUAGGUAUCUGCCUGAUCCUUCACUUUUUUUUUUUUUAUUAUUUUGUUCCAAAAGAAGGACUUUAUUCUGAAAAGCAGCAUGGUUUAUUUUCUCUAACAGAGGAAGGAAAUUCCCUAAAUACACCAAGUUGCAAGGACUGUGCCUGAGCACAGUCAAAAAAAAAAAAAAAAAAAAAAAAAAAAAGCUGGAAGCUGAGGUAUAGACGAGAGGUUUACCUAUAAACCCAUUUUUUCUUGGACAAGCUAGCAGACUUGCCAAGAUCUCUAGAAAUAUUUCUGUGCUUUGAAUGAAAUCCUUUGUGAAGGUAAUCAUGCUCAAGGGAACGGGUAAAACUGGAAGACUGUUGAGGACUAUAGUAGAUUUUCUGAGUCAUCUUGCAGCUGGGAAAGCCAGGACCUUGAGGAUAACAGUGUAGGAAGCCCCAUCCAUUGUGCCGAUUGCUGUUCAGACUCUGGCUGCUUUGAGAACCAGAAUCUCUGGGUAGACCUAAUGUAGGUGUUUGGAGAGGCUCAGGGGCCCCCUCACAGACAUGCCCGAGCCCUCUGUUUCAGGGGAGAGGAGAUCAAAGCUCAGAGAGUAACAAGAACAGGGAGGUCACCACAUGGUGGAAAACAACUCGUCCUUGGUAAAUGGGUGCCAACAGCUGGGAUGGACUGAACCCAACAGUGCCAGCAUUCUCACUUGUGUGUCUCCACUCAGGUGCUGCUUUGGGAUUCUUUGGUGACAGAGGUAAUGAAAUAUAUUGACUUUUGUUAAG